rnacentral:tRNA from 1 species
GGGGGUAUAGCUCAGUGGUAGAGCCCAUGCUUAGCAUGCAUGAGGUCCUGGGUUCAAUCCCCAGUACCUCCA